CAGCAGCCGCGGUAAUACGUAGGGUGCGAGCGUUAAUCGGAAUUACUGGGCGUAAAGCGUGCGUAGGCGGUUUGUUAAGUCUGCUGUGAAAUCCCCGGGCUCAACCUGGGAAUGGCAGUGGAUACUGGCAAGCUAGAGUGUGUCAGAGGAUGGUGGAAUUCCCGGUGUAGCGGUGAAAUGCGUAGAGAUCGGGAGGAACAUCAGUGGCGAAGGCGGCCAUCUGGGACAACACUGACGCUGAGGCACGAAAGCGUGGGGAGCAAACAGGAUUAGAUACCCGCGUAGUCCCUGUCUCUUAUAC
rnacentral:rRNA from 1 species